AGUGAACGCUGGCGGUAGGCCUAACACAUGCAAGUCGAACGGCAGCACAGUAAGAGCUUGCUCUUACGGGUGGCGAGUGGCGGACGGGUGAGGAAUACAUCGGAAUCUACUUUUUCGUGGGGGAUAACGUAGGGAAACUUACGCUAAUACCGCAUACGACCUACGGGUGAAAGCAGGGGAUCUUCGGACCUUGCGCGAUUGAAUGAGCCGAUGUCGGAUUAGCUAGUUGGCCGGGUAAAGGCCCACCAAGGCGACGAUCCGUAGCUGGUCUGAGAGGAUGAUCAGCCACACUGGAACUGAGACACGGUCCAGACUCCUACGGGAGGCAGCAGUGGGGAAUAUUGGACAAUGGGCGCAAGCCUGAUCCAGCCAUACCGCGUGGGUGAAGAAGGCCUUCGGGUUGUAAAGCCCUGUUGUUGGGAAAGAAAAGCAGCAGGUUAAUACCCCGCUGUUCUGACGGUACCCAAAGAAUAAGCACCGGCUAACUUCGUG
rnacentral:rRNA from 1 species